UUUCAUGCUUUAUCGUCAUGGUUUCUUCAUAAGCAGUAUUUACAGCACAUCAGCUGAGUCAUACCAGAACUUUCUGUUUCAGAAGUUCACAUCAACAUUUUUAAAAACAGAUUACUAAACAUCCAGCCUCAGAUUAUUGGUUGUGUUGUGGGGCUGCUUAAAAAUUCAUGCGAGCUGUAGUUUUUGGUAAACAUACAAAUGAAUUGUUACUUAACUCAUAAUCACAAAACUGCUAAUAAUACAGAAGCAAGUGUCGUAGUAAAAGCUCAUUAAUCUUGGUUAAUCCCAGCAACAUAUUUCACUUUUUUUUGUGAAAGAUAGAUGAAAGAAACCUCAAUUAGAGAUUACAUUGAGUUAAAGCAUCAGCAUGUUUUAAACAAAGUGCUUGCCAAAAUGUGUCUGACAAUUUCUGUCACUUUCAGAAACCAACAAUCCAACGUGUUUGACCACUUCAGGCAGUGAUUGGCCAAGUGUGUGGAGGUGUUAAAAUAAAAUGUUUUCAUUCUUCACACUUCUGUUACCUUUUGUGUGAAAACGAGUGCAACUCCAUGCCUUUUAAGAGAGACCCCACAUUUAAGGGAUUGUUGUAUCUUAUCUUGCUAUGACGAACGUUUUUAUGCCCUAUUUAUUAACACAAAACAAAGCUGUUUGUUUUAAGGCCUUUCCAGAAACUAGGGGAACAGAAGCUCAUCAGGACUUUCUAUAAACAGAAGGGAUCUUUCGUACCCUGACAUGCCCUGGUCAGGCACGUUGAGGAAGUCCAUGUUCCCCUGGUUGUACUGGUUGUGGGCUGGGACUCGGGGGGCCCUCUGGGAACCCAUUUUUGGUAGAGCUGUG